rnacentral:lncRNA from 1 species
AUAUCUCAUAUGGAGUCUUUGCAACUAAUUAAUUCAAAAAUUAGUUUAGAAUAUAAUAAGUAGUUUCAAGAGCAUAACCUUAAAUAGAGACUGGCAGACUUGUAAACUUUAUCAUGAAUCGAACUAUGUCUAACAAAAUUGAUUCCAACAAGAGAAAAUCCUAUUCUCUUCUAGAUAUGUCAAAACUUACUUGAAAUAAAUUCUCCUUUUCAGUC